rnacentral:tRNA from 1 species
AAAUAAGAAGCAAAUAAUUGCCUUUAGUUUCGACCUAAAAAUUUGACAAAUGUCCUUAUUUU